rnacentral:rRNA from 1 species
UACGGGGGGAGCAAGCGUUGUUCGGAUUUACUGGGCGUAAAGGGCGCGUAGGCGGCCACCGCAAGUCAGUUGUGAAAGCUCUGGGCUUAACCCAGAAAGGUCAACUGAUACUGCGGGGCUAGAAUGCAGAAGGGGCAACUGGAAUUCUCGGUGUAGCGGUGAAAUGCGUAGAUAUCAGGAGGAACACCAAUGGCGAAGGCAGCACUCUGGGACGUGACUGACGCUGAGACGCGAAAGCGUGGGGAGCAAACAGG